CAUUGAGACAGGUGCUGCAUGACUGUCGUCAGCUCGUGUCGUGAGAUGUUGGGUUAAGUCCCGUAACGAGCGCAACCCUUGUCCUUAGUUACCAGCACGUAAUGGUGGGCACUCUAAGGAGACUGCCGGUGACAAACCGGAGGAAGGUGGGGAUGACGUCAAGUCAUCAUGGCCCUUACGGCCUGGGCUACACACGUGCUACAAUGGUCGGUACAGAGGGUUGCCAAGCCGCGAGGUGGAGCUAAUCCCAUAAAACCGAUCGUAGUCCGGAUCGCAGUCUGCAACUCGACUGCGUGAAGUCGGAAUCGCUAGUAAUCGCGAAUCAGAAUGUCGCGGUGAAUACGUUCCCGGGCCUUGUACACACCGCCCGUCACACCAUGGGAGUGGGUUGCACCAGAAGUAGCUAGUCUAACCUUCGGGGGGACGGUACCACGGUGUGAUUCAUGACUGGGGUGAAGUCGAACA
rnacentral:rRNA from 1 species